GACACGAGACAUUGAGCAUGGACUGACCAUGUAUAAGAGGUGAGAGAUGAGACACGAGACAUUGGGCGUGGACUGACCAUGUAUAAGAGGUGAGAGAUGAGACACGAGACAUUGGGCGUGGACUGACCAUGUAGUAUAAGAGGUGAGAGAUGAGACACGAGACAUUGGGCGUGGAUUGACCAUGUAUAAGAGGUGAGAGAUGAGACACGAGACAUUGGGCGUGGACUGACCAUGUAUAAGACCGUGAGAGAUGAGACACGAGACAUUGGGCGUGGACUGACCAUGUAUAAGAGGUGAGAGAUGAGACACGAGACAUUGGGCGUGGACUGACCAUGUAUAAGAGGUGAGAGAUGAGACACGAGACAUUGGGCGUGGAUUGACCAUGUAUAAGAGGUGAGAGAUGAGACACGAGACAUGAGGCGUGGACUGACCAUGUAUAAGAGGUGAGAGAUGAGACACGAGACAUUGAGCAGGGACUGACCAUGUAUAAGAGAUGAGACACGAGACAUGAGGCGUGGACUGACCAUGUAUAAGAGGUGAGAGAUGAGAC